GUAGUCCACGCCCUAAACGAUGUCAACUAGUUGUUGGGGAUUCAUUUCUUCAGUAACGUAGCUAACGCGUGAAGUUGACCGCCUGGGGAGUACGGUCGCAAGAUUAAAACUCAAAGGAAUUGACGGGGACCCGCACAAGCGGUGGAUGAUGUGGAUUAAUUCGAUGCAACGCGAAAAACCUUACCUACCCUUGACAUGCCACUAACGAAGCAGAGAUGCAUUAGGUGCCCGAAAGGGAAAGUGGACACAGGUGCUGCAUGGCUGUCGUCAGCUCGUGUCGUGAGAUGUUGGGUUAAGUCCCGCAACGAGCGCAACCCUUGUCUCUAGUUGCUACGAAAGGGCACUCUAGAGAGACUGCCGGUGACAAACCGGAGGAAGGUGGGGAUGACGUCAAGUCCUCAUGGCCCUUAUGGGUAGGGCUUCACACGUCAUACAAUGGUGCGUACAGAGGGUUGCCAACCCGCGAGGGGGAGCUAAUCCCAGAAAACGCAUCGUAGUCCGGAUCGUAGUCUGCAACUCGACUACGUGAAGCUGGAAUCGCUAGUAAUCGCGGAUCAGCAUGCCGCGGUGAGUA
rnacentral:rRNA from 1 species